rnacentral:rRNA from 1 species
GAUGAACGCUGGCGGCGUGCCUAAUACAUGCAAGUCGAGCGAACAGACGAGGAGCUUGCUCCUCUGACGUUAGCGGCGGACGGGUGAGUAACACGUGGAUAACCUACCUAUAAGACUGGGAUAACUUCGGGAAACCAGAGCUAAUACCGGAUAAUAUAUUGAACCGCAUGGUUCAAUAGUGAAAGACGGUUUUGCUGUCACUUAUAGAUGGAUCCGCGCCGCAUUAGCUAGUUGGUAAGGUAACGGCUUACCAAGGCGACGAUGCGUAGCCGACCUGAGAGGGUGAUCGGCCACACUGGAACUGAGACACGGUCCAGACUCCUACGGGAGGCAGCAGUAGGGAAUCUACCGCAAUAGGCGAAAGCCUGACGGAGCAACACCGCGUGAGUGAUGAAGGUCUUCGGAUCGUAAAACUCUGUUAUUAGGGAAGAACAAAUGUGUAAGUAACUAUGCACGUCUUGACGGUACCUAAUCAGAAAGCCACGGCUAACUACGUG